GAAAGAAGCUUGCUAGCAAAGAAGACUGCUAACCCUCUCCCUCCCCAGUUGGAUCCUGGGGUUCUCUC
rnacentral:tRNA from 1 species